UAAAUCUAGUCUAAUAGCAAGGAAGAAGAAAAAGAUACCAAAACUUGCUAAAUAAACGCUUCAAAAUUAAUGAUUAAUUGACGACUAAUUAGAAAUAUGUUGCAUACCUAUUUUACUGAGGUAAAAAAGCAGUAGAAAUUUGACGACAAAGAGAAGAGAGAGAAGGGCUUGAGGAAUUCUAUGUGUUAUAUUCCUCAUGUAUUGUGCCAUUAUUUAUACUA
rnacentral:lncRNA from 1 species